rnacentral:ncRNA from 1 species
ACAGGUUCCCGGAGACGGGAUGAAAAGGGAAUCCGGAAGCGACGCCUGACAAGGCGGGCGUGAUCCGGAGCUGCCCCCGCAACUGUGACCGGCGAGCCUCACCCAUCCCAUGCCACUGGAGUCGAUCCGGGAAGGCCGGGCGCGGCGCUGACCCGGGAGCCAGGAGACCUGCCUGUCGC